rnacentral:rRNA from 1 species
AAAGCUUACAUCUCUUCGGAGCAUUUUACGAGGUGCUGCAUGGUUGUCGUCAGCUCGUGCCGUGAGGUGUCGGGUUAAGUCCCAUAACGAGCGCAACCCCUACCUUUAGUUGCCAUCAGGUUAAGCUGGGGACUCUAAGGAACUGCCUACGCAAGUAGUGAGGAAGGCGGGGAUGACGUCAAAUCAGCACGGCCCUUACGUCCAGGGCUACACACGUGCUACAAUGGCCGAUACAGAGGGCAGCUACCUGGUGACAGGAUGCAAAUCUCCAAAGUCGGUCUCAGUUCGGAUCGGAGUCUGCAACCCGACUCCGUGAAGUUGGAUUCGCUAGUAAUCGCGCAUCAGCCAUGGCGCGGUGAAUACGUUCCCGGGCCUU